UUACUAUAAAAAUAUAAUAAUAUAAAAUAAUUAUAUUACGAAUAAUAAUAAUAAUAAUAUAUUUAUUUAAUCUUUAUUUAUAUAUACUAACUUUUAU
rnacentral:miRNA from 1 species